GACGAACGCUGGCGGCGUGCUUAACACAUGCAAAUCGAACGGAAAGGCCCUGCUUUUGUGGGGUGCUCGAGUGGCGAACGGGUGAGUAACACGUGAGUAACCUGCCCUUGACUUUGGGAUAACUUCAGGAAACUGGGGCUAAUACCGGAUAGGAGCUCCUGCUGCAUGGUGGGGGUUGGAAAGUUUCGGCGGUUGGGGAUGGACUCGCGGCUUAUCAGCUUGUUGGUGGGGUAGUGGCUUACCAAGGCUUUGACGGGUAGCCGGCCUGAGAGGGUGACCGGCCACAUUGGGACUGAGAGACGGCCCAGACUCCUACGGGAGGCAGCAGUGGGGAAUAUUGCACAAUGGGCGGAAGCCUGAUGCAGCAACGCCGCGUGCGGGAUGACGGCCUUCGGGUUGUAAACCGCUUUCGCCUGUGACGAAGCGUGAGUGACGGUAAUGGGUAAAGAAGCACCGGCUAACUACGUG
rnacentral:rRNA from 1 species